rnacentral:misc_RNA from 1 species
AUAAUAAAUUCCCUUCUCAAUGAAGAGAGGGCUAUCCAGUAAAAAAGGAAAAUAAAGUAAAAAAAAAAGUUAAUUUUUUUAAACUAAUGAAAAGUUAAAAAAAAAAGGAGAAAAUUAAAAAAAAAAUAGAAAUUGAUUUUGAAGCAGCAGGAAUCUGAGAUUGAUUGUUUACGAGAGAGAGAGGGAGAGGAAGGAGAGAGAAAUUCAGGGGGAUCAAGGAGAGAGGAAUAGAGAGAAU